AAAAGGGGGGGUAUCUCAUUUGUAUACAAAUAGAUUUUCAAUGGCAUUUAAUAAAAGAUUCUUUAAUGGUUAAAAUGAUAAAGAUUAAUUCUACAUAUCUUGAAAAAUCUUAAUGACUUCUGUAUUCUUGACUUCUUAAAAAUAUUUUCUUUCUUUUAGUGUGCAAUAAGACAAACUAAGGGGAAUUUUUUCAGCUUGUAUCUCUUUUACCCAUAUUAUUUUCCUUGCAUAAGCAAAAAAAUAAUAAUUGCCUCUAAAACUGAUUUGACAGUGUUCAGUGACAUCAUUUAAUAUUGGUGAUGGGGUGGAAGAGAAGGUAGGGAAUGCCCUUAUGGCCAAACCUAAAACACAGUUUCCUUGAGCCUUCUGAGCAAUCUUAGAAUUAUUCAGAAGCUUUCAGGAAACUCAAAUUCUAUUAAUUUGAUUUGGUUCCUUUCCAAAAUGUUAAUAGACAUGUAUUUGCUUAAAACGUCUACCUAUUCCAUUUAAUUUCCUGCUGAUAAAUGUAUUUUAUCUACAAGCAAGUAGAAUAUUUUGUUUUGGUUAAAGUCAAGUUUUUAUAAAAGGAGGGGAAGUAUAAGAGAGAGUUUCCUAGAGAUACAAUAUCAUCUCUGGAGCAAAAUGUUGAGGCCAAGUGUAAAAACAGACUAUUUCUCUUUACUUCCUGCAGAAUUUCAUUUCAAGGGACCACAGCACACCCUUGAAAAUUACCAUUUAUUUAAUGCCAGUUGAACCAAUGGGUAGCAAAAGAGGAGGGAGGGAACAUGGUCAUAGAGACAAAAUCUAACUACUAUACCAGGUCUUCCUUUGUAAGAAAUAUUAGCCCUGCCAAUAUAAAACGCAGAUGGACAUAGACAGAAUAAGCAUCGAGGACUUUUUCUUAUUUACUUGAAAUCUAGAAGCUCAGUCAUCUCUGCUCAUCCCUGGACCCACUGGAGAGUUUUACUCACUAACAGGUCCUUUCCUGGAAGAAAUAACCUCAUCUCCUGCCAUAUUAGUUUACAAUAAAAAUCAUUCCAAAGUGAGCCAUUUCACAUUGCAUUUUUGCCACAUGCACAUUUGCUAUUGAAACCACAGAUUCUCAGCAUAAGUAAGACAUAGGUGUUUCAGAAACUUCAUAAAUACACGAUCUUUCAGGUGCUCCUCAAUUUCUUAAUCAAGGUAUAUUGAACUCCAGUGAUUAGGAUAGAACCUGAAAACAUCCUUUGUUCUAUUGGAUAGUACAACACAGCAAGAGCACACAGUUAUUUGUAUAAUAAAACAACUUAAUUAAUGAGGAAGAUGGGAUGUUUGAUUCCUGCUACCACCAGUUCACUUCACAAAGGCCUUCUUCUGGUAUUACCAGGAAAACUUUCCUGCAUUUUCUAGGGAAAAAGAAAAGUCGUUUAUUAGGAGCACAAUGCAGAUAUGUAUCUGUGUUUUCAUAGCUUCAGCAAACUUCUUAGUAAAAUUCCCAUUUCAACAAAAACCAAAAUACUGAUUGUUUGAAUGUAGAAAGGUAUAGAAUAAAGACUACAAAGGGGAAUUUUACCAGGGCUCCUUAGACCAGCUUCCCCAGCAUAAUUUUUAUAUAACUCAAGUAAGCCUCUGCUUCCCCUCUCCUUUCCAGUAUAAUAUAAGAAGGUCGGAACUGUCGCACAAAAGAACUUGAUUUCAAUAUGAAAAUAUAAUAUGUAAUUUUGGGGACUGCAGACUUUCUGCAUCAAAGAUCUGGACAGCCUUAACUUUUAUAAAAAUAAUUUUUCAAUGUUCUCUUUUACUAACCAGGAAAACAAGAUGUUUUCUGAAAUUAAUGACUUUUUCUAUUUUGGGUCUGUUUUCUAAGUUUUUACAGGUUGAGGUAUAAAGGGUCGUCUUCUCCUCAUAUUGCCUCUUCAUAAUCACCUGGGGCUAUUUUUUGCAAGUCACUGCAUUUUUACAAAAAAUAAAAAUAAAAAGUACAUCUCACAAAUCAUAAAAUUCUCCCUAGACUUCAGACAGUCCUUCUGGAGUGAAAGAAUAGAAAUACAGAAAGAAAAGAAUUACAGGGUGGCUUUCUUUUUAUUUUCCUAUGGUUAAUGUACUGUAUGGUAUAUAUGUUUACAGAAUGUAUCUGCCUUGUGAUGUUAACAAAAUGAAUGACAAAAAAUAGUACUGAUGUGCCAUUUGACAGUUUGCCUUAGCAUCACUGUUUAUGUUCUUCUUUUCUGUCCUUUUUGGUAAAAAAAAACGCAGGUUGUAUUCCAAAGCUGUAUUAACACAACAUUCUCUUCCCCACUCCUACCCAGCCUUCUUCAGAGCUGUGAAUUUCAUUACAGGAGCAUUGAGGCAGAACCUUGCAGGUGUGGCCCAAAGGGGCUAAAGUGGGCAUAGGUUGGGAUUUACUUCUGCCCGUCUACCAACCAAACACGUAUCUGUGUUCUCAUAUAAGCCUGCAAAAUUUUACACCCUGCCUUUCAGGGAGACAGGCCACAUGGAGCGCAUGACCUCUUGUAGUCGUCUCCUCACAGUCCUUCCCACUGUGAGAGAAGGAAACUUGCAGACCCCCAACUGGAUCUGGGAGCAUAUUUUUAAGCACAGUUGGCAUUGCUUGAAAAAGCAAGAGAGAUGGACUCAAAUUCUAUGAUUGAGCCAUGACUGAGGAAUGUGCCCAUUCGUUAUAGUCGAAGAUGAGUAGGAUGAUAUGGGUGAGAAUAGGAGUGGCUGUAGAAAUGGAAUAUUUUACAGUUAUGUAUUUUUUUAAGGAAUAGUAUUUUUAUAAUGAAAUCUAUAUACAUUAUGGAGCUUGAGUUGGAAAACACCCUUGACUGAGCUAUUUCUUCAUUCCAUUAAAGGUAACUUUCUGGGGAGUCCUAUAGCACUAGGCCAAGCCUUGGGGGCAUGAACAAAGGGCCUGUCACUUGGCCUUGCACUGCCAUUACAUGAGAUCCAGUGUUUCCAAAUAGGCCUUGGUUGGAAGAUUGAGCUUUCUAUACCUGCCAUUAGGUAGAUUAGAUAGAUGGCUUGAUAGCUCUCUGGGCUAUACUUUUAAUAAUAUAUAAUAAUCUUUGGGAAGGAGAUAGCUAUUUUAAAUGCAAGCAAAGCCCAGAAACUAUCAAAGUCCAAAUCUUUCACAUAUUUAAGGAGUAAUUGCCACAUUUGAGGUUAAGGGACCACUUACUAUGGUGCAUUUGAGAAAUAUAUAUGAAACGGUGAGUCAGAGCCCUCUGACCAUCUUCAGUCUACACAUAAGCAGAUAAACCACCAAUAUAAAUCUUAUAGGGGCCAGACGAGGUGGCUUAUGCCUGUAAUCCCAGCACUUUGGGGGGCCAAGGCAGGAGGAUAGUGUGAGCCCAGAAGUUCAAGACCAGGCUAGGCAACAUGUUGAGACCAUGUUGUUUAGUCUCUACUAAAAAAUAUAAAAAUUAGCCAGCAUGGUGGCACACACCUGUAGUCCCAGCUACUUGGGAGACUGAGGCAGGAGGAUCACUUGAGCCCAGGAGGUGGAGGCUGCAGGGGGCUGAGAUCUCACCACUCCAUUCCAGCCUGGGCAACAGAGCAAGACUCUGUCUCAAAAAAAAAAACAAAAAAACAAUUAUCAGUUGGCCUUCUACAUAACACAGGGCUACACUGUAUUUUUAGAGUUAAGUAGAUACAGGAAAAGAUUGUCUUUAUCCAUAAAGGAGAUUCUGAAUUUUUAGAGUUCCUGAAUAUUUUCCCCCAAGUUUCUGUCAAAUUCCUGAAGUCCCUUCCCUAUCACACUCAGUUUCCUGAAGCUCUUCCCCUACACCUGCUCCUCUGUCUGGCUAACAGAGUUGUCAUGUCUCAGAAACUACUCACCACUCUUGUGAGACUCUCUUCCCAAGCAUCAUCCUUCCUCAGGAUGAGGCCUUUUUCUACUACCCAAGAGAUCAAGACCCUUUUUCUAACAAGACAAGGUUAUAUCUACUCCAUUUUCAAGAGAAAUAACCCCUCUGGUUCCCAUGCAAAUCGCUUAAAUUCCUUCAUCACCAGAAUCUCUCCAACAGGCCCAACUCCAGCCCAGCUGUGAACACUGCUGUCAUGGAGACAACUCCAAAAUGAAAGAACUAUGCAAUUGCCUGAAGGUGCUAAUGGAGAGCCAGUUUACUCUAAUCUCUUAUUACUAAGGAACCUCUCGGUUUCGAGAUUAAGUGGGCAGGGAGACAUCCAGUCACUUAGUUUUGCAAUGACAGGUCUUGAUAUACACAGAGGCCACCAGGCAAUGCCUGAUCCAAACUAUUCUGUAUGUAGCUCCAACUCCAAUUCUGUGAUAUCCUAUUCUGGCAGGUGGGAAGAGUUCUAUUCUUUGCAGGGUUCUGGAACAUUCUUUCCUGCUCUCAAGCUCCUGACUUAGGAGAGUCAAAAUCAUACAGGGGUUCCAGAAAAUGUUGUGUCUGAUGCAGCUUCUCAGUGAAUGUAGGUUGUUGGUGAAAUUUUCAGCUUUAGCAUCUCACUCGGGGUGAGUGAUGUCUCUGUAAAUACUUUCAUUUGUGGUUGGUUGGUGGGGGUGGGGGUGGGAGCCUGUCGUGCUUACUCUGAAUUAGCUUACUGGGCUAGCUGCUGUACUUUGUAACCUGAAGUGUACUUUGACUGUUCUGUUUCCUUCAGAUGAAAAACAAAAUAAAAACCGACUUCAGAAAAGACACUACCAGCGACAGCUGAUGCUGUACUUGUAGCUUCUCUCUGUUCCUCUGUACAGUAUUAAUAGACAAUAAA
rnacentral:lncRNA from 10 species